GAAGGGUAUCAGAAUCAGCAGCAUCACGAGUACGGAUACAUGAACCAGGGGUACAUGAAUCAAGGCUAUAUGUCUCACCCUGGCUAUGUGAAUGAAGGGUAUAUGUCUCACCCUGGGUAUGUGAAUCAAGGGUACAUGGUGGACACGCGGCAUCCCCUUCACGCGCCUCAGAUGUUCAGCGAUGAGAAUCCAAACGCCUGCUCGAUCAUGUAAGAAAGGAAAUCAACGGUGGUUAAUAAGGAAUUAAUCAUGAUUAAUAUAGAGAGAAGAAAGAAAAGGACCAAAUGUAAAUAGC
rnacentral:lncRNA from 1 species